GCUGGGCAUGGUGGCUCAUGCCUGUAAUCUCAGCACUUUGGGAGACUGAGGCGGGUGGAUCACCUGAGGUCAGGAGUUCUGGACCAGCCUGGCCAACAUGGCGAAACCCCGUCUCUA
rfam:Gorilla gorilla gorilla genomic chromosome, chrX, whole genome shotgun sequence